rnacentral:misc_RNA from 1 species
UCUCCGUAGGUGAACCUGCGGAGGGAUCAUUACAGAGUUCAUGCCUUACCGGGUAGAUCUCCCACCCUAUGUUAUUAUUACUUUGUUGCUUUGGCGGGCCGUUAGGCUCCGGCCCGACUACCGGCCCCGGCUGGUAAGCGCCCGCCAGAGGACCCAAAACCCUGAAUAUUAGUGUCGUCUUAGUACUAUAUAAUAGUUAAAACCUUCAACAACGGAUCUCUUGGUUCUG